GAUGAACGCAGGCGGCGUGCCUAAUACAUGCAAGUAGAACGCUGAAGCUUGGUGCUUGCACCGAGCGGAUGAGUUGCGAACGGGUGAGUAACGCGUAGGUAACCUGCCUUGUAGCGGGGGAUAACUAUUGGAAACGAUAGCUAAUACCGCAUAACAAUGGAUGACACAUGUCAUUUAUUUGAAAGGGGCAAUUGCUCCACUACAAGAUGGACCUGCGUUGUAUUAGCUAGUGGGUGAGGUAACGGCUCACCUAGGCGACGAUACAUAGCCGACCUGAGAGGGUGAUCGGCCACACUGGGACUGAGACACGGCCCAGACUCCUACGGGAGGCAGCAGUAGGGAAUCUUCGGCAAUGGGGGCAACCCUGACCGAGCAACGCCGCGUGAGUGAAGAAGGUUUUCGGAUCGUAAAGCUCUGUUGUAAGUCAAGAACGAGUGUGAGAGUGGAAAGUUCACACUGUGACGGUAGCUUACCAGAAAGGGACGGCUAACUACGUGCCAGCAGCCGCGGUAAUACGUAGGUCCCGAGCGUUGUCCGGAUUUAUUGGGCGUAAAGCGAGCGCAGGCGGUUUGAUAAGUCUGAAGUUAAAGGCUGUGGCUCAACCAUAGUUCGCUUUGGAAACUGUCAAACUUGAGUGCAGAAGGGGAGAGUGGAAUUCCAUGUGUAGCGGUGAAAUGCGUAGAUAUAUGGAGGAACACCGGUGGCGAAAGCGGCUCUCUGGUCUGUAACUGACGCUGAGGCUCGAAAGCGUGGGGAGCGAACAGG
rnacentral:rRNA from 1 species